rnacentral:rRNA from 1 species
UACGGAGGGUGCAAGCGUUAUCCGGAUUCACUGGGUUUAAAGGGUGCGUAGGCGGUCAGGUAAGUCAGUGGUGAAAUCUCCGAGCUUAACUCGGAAACUGCCAUUGAUACUAUUUGUCUUGAAUAUUGUGGAGGUAAGCGGAAUAUGUCAUGUAGCGGUGAAAUGCUUAGAUAUGACAUAGAACACCAAUUGCGAAGGCAGCUUACUACACAAUGAUUGACGCUGAGGCACGAAAGCGUGGGGAUCAAACAGG